rnacentral:rRNA from 1 species
AGUGAACGCUGGCGGUAGGCCUAACACAUGCAAGUCGAACGGCAGCACAGUAAGAGCUUGCACUUACGGGUGGCGAGUGGCGGACGGGUGAGGAAUACAUCGGAAUCUACUUUUUCGUGGGGGAUAACGUAGGGAAACUUACGCUAAUACCGCAUACGACCUACGGGUGAAAGCAGGGGAUCUUCGGACCUUGCGCGAUUGAAUGAGCCGAUGUCGGAUUAGCUAGUUGGCGGGGUAAAGGCCCACCAAGGCGACGAUCCGUAGCUGGUCUGAGAGGAUGAUCCGCCACACUGGAACUGAGACACGGUCCAGACUCCUACGGGAGGCAGCAGUGGGGAAUAUUGGACAAUGGGCGCAAGCCUGAUCCAGCCAUACCGCGUGGGUGAAGAAGGCCUUCGGGUUGUAAAGCCCUUUUGUUGGGAAAGAAAAGCAGCAGGUUAAUACCCCGCUGUUCUGACGGUACCCAAAGAAUAAGCACCGGCUAACUUCGUG